rnacentral:rRNA from 1 species
ACGCUCGACACCUACGGAGGCAGCAGUGGGGAAUAUUGCACAAUGGGGGAAACCCUGAUGCAGCGACGCCGCGUGAGCGAAGAAGUAUUUCGGUAUGUAAAGCUCUAUCAGCAGGGAAGAAAAUGACGGUACCUGACUAAGAAGCCCCGGCUAACUACGUGUCAGCAGCCGCGGUAAUCUGAGGCGGGCGUGGCAAGGC